GGGGACGUGGUGUACGGCGCACCGCUGCAUUAAAUGAAUAGGUAGUAUCCCAGGGCAUUAUGCAGCAAGCCGGGGUUCGACCCCCCGCGUCCCCC